AAUUGUUCAAAGCCAAAGGCGCAAUAAUAAUCGCGUGUGGUGUAUACUUAUACGUGAUAGUUUCUCAAUAUUUUGUAUUUGCCAAGAUACUUUUGUCACAAUUGUUUCUAUAAAUCUAUUAUCUAUGCGAUAAAGAAGAAGUUCUGCAGUAUAAACUGUACUAUACAUACUAUAAAUACAAAUAUUAUAAUAAAAUGUAAAUAUUAAAUAAAAAAUAGUACUGAGAUGAUCCCGUUAUCCCACAGGCUAUAUCUAUGAAAUUGCACUGGUAUACCUAUAUAACUGAUAGUAUUUUUUACUUUGAAUAUUAUAUCAUGCACAAAUUUUCGUUCUCUGUUUAGAUUUUAAUUAAUAUAAUUAUACGAAAAUCUUAAAAAUAAUAUAAUUUCAAAAUCGAAAGUCCAAAUUCCAAAGUCCAUAGUCCAAAGUCCAGCCCAGUGUUUACAAUAUGCCAAUAGCACGCUGAAGUUCGAUUACCUUUUUUUAUACACCCUGUAAAUAAACAUGACAUUAACGGUUUCCUAUUGGAUAGAUUUAAUUGGAUAUAGUAAUGUUUAUGCAAAGGCGGAGCCAAUUUGACAAGAGCGAAAAGUGGGCGUAUUUCGUUUCUUGAUGUGUUGUCGGCAGUCCCUCAUUUCUUCGAGGGACUGCUCGCGGUCUAGAUCGGAUGCGAAUGUUCUAUAUUACUUAAAAUACAAAUGCAUAAAAGUAACCAUGUUUACCAACUAAUUUGGCAAUAUGGUUCGCUUUGGUCGAGAAGAUCGAAGCUUUACAGUUUAAGUAAAUCAGGAAAACAUUUCAUUUCAUUUCUUCGUGAAUUGGUUACGAGUAUUUUAAUAUAGAUUUAAACUGAUCCUUAAAACCUAACCUACAGCUAAAAGUAGCCUCAUCUGCAGAAUGAUAUCUUCAACUCGUAAUUAGAGCGUUAGACUAGCAAAUUAAAUCCAUUCCUAUACUGAUUAAGAAUUAAAGGUUGUCUUUUGUGGACAUGGAGCUAUUCGGCUAACGCACUUUUUAUGCCCAUGCAUUGCAACACACUUCACACUUUCGAAUAACUCACGUGCUUUAUAUACAGUAGCUAGUUACCAAUAGGUUAUAUUUAAAUUAUAGAUGUGGAUAAAUUGAAUGGCAAUGAGCAUAAGCAUGUGUAGUUAUUAGUUAUUAGGACUAUUAUAAAAUUUGAAAUUGUUGUAUAACUGGCUGAAAAAGGACUAUACGAUCAGUAAGGGUAUAGAAAGAAGCAUUGUGGAAGCACAGUUAAUAGAAUACAUGGUUUAGAGACUCGAUGAAAGUACAAUUAUAUAACUCAUUAAAGGGAAAUGGCAAUAUAUUUUUUUAUUUUCUUGUUUGAAAGAACAUUUAAAACCAUG